UGGCUCAGUGGAUAGAGCAUCAGCCCAUGUACUGAAGAGUCAUGGGUUCAAUUCCCAU
rnacentral:tRNA from 1 species